rnacentral:rRNA from 1 species
AUUGAACGCUGGCGGCAGGCUUAACACAUGCAAGUCGGGCGGUAACAGGAGAAGCUUGCUUCUCGCUGACGAGCGGCGGACGGGUGAGUAAUACUUAGGAAUCUACCUAGUAGUGGGGGAUAGCUCGGGGAAACUCGUAUUAAUACUGCAUACGACCUACGGGAGAAAGGGGGCAACUUGUUGCUCUCGCUAUUAGAUGAGCCUAAGUCGGAUUAGCUAGAUGGUGGGGUAAAGGCCUACCAUGGCGACGAUCUGUAGCUGGUCUGAGAGGAUGAUCAGCCACACCGGGACUGAGACACGGCCCGGACUCCUACGGGAGGCAGCAGUGGGGAAUAUUGGACAAUGGGGGCAACCCUGAUCCAGCCAUGCCGCGUGUGUGAAGAAGGCCUUUUGGUUGUAAAGCACUUUAAGCAGUGAAGAAGACUCUAGGGUUAAUACCCUUAGACGAUGACAUUAGCUGCAGAAUAAGCACCGGCUAACUCUGUGCCAGCAGCCGCCGUAA